GCUUCCCCUGGUUGAAUAUGUGAGCUGCCUGUUAGACUGGCCUAAUAGUAGAUGGAUUAAAACAGGAAUCUGGAGACUCAGACGAGGUGCAGACCAACCAAGUGUUUAUCUCAAAUUUAAUACAAAAAAGGACUUUGAAGACAUAACAAAGGACGACAUAUCUACUUACUUGAGCUGAAACUGAAAGUAUCUUCAACCCUCUUCAACAACGGCCUCUGGUUACAUUAACUAUCAGCGAAACAAAAGGGAUGGUCAGCGAAAAGGAGUAAUCUACAACAUCAGAAACUCGUGAAAACCUGCCUAGUCCAAGUUCAUGACUAUAAAUGUGAAAACUUACGAUCGACCUGGGAACCGAGGAACAGUUCAAGAGCGUCACGGUGCAGCACCUGAAGGAGGAGAUACAAGAGAUGAGCUCAACAAGUGGCUCACAUCAACCACAACAGCGCAGAAUGGAGAAGAUCUAUAAGGUCGUGGUUCAUGAUUUUAAGUGGGAGAAAGUGGAGAUUGAUCUCUGCAACACCGAGGAGCAGAUGAAGAACAUGACAGUGCUGCAGCUGAAGGAGAAGAUAGCUCAGAGGUAUCCUAAGUACAUUGGAGGUAAAGACACAUAGAAAGAGAGAGAGAAGUGUUAUGACACAGAGUACAACACUGUUUUGCAUUUACUUCCACCUCAAACUGUCGGGUUUAAAGUACAGAGGUGUUCACAGCAAAAUGUUCAGAAAUAUUAAUGAAUGUGUUGUUCACCUGUUACGUUUAUAAUGUGUCAUACAGAAGAGUUCAUCAAUGAGAUACUACACACUCGUCAUAUUCUAGGAAUCAUGAGAUUUAUUCUGUUUAUGUUCAAACACAGUUAACUAACUAACUCUCUCUCUCUGUCAGAUGAUAUAGAACUUCUCUUCAUUGAUAAAUGUCUGGAUGAAGAAUCCGCUCCACUGUGUAAAUAUGGCAUACAACACAUGUCUCAGAUACUGGUAAUUAUUAAACUGCCUGGGGGAGGAGGACC